rnacentral:rRNA from 2 species
AGUCGAGGGGUAUAUGUCUUCGGAUAUAGAGACCGGCGCACGGGUGCGUAACGCGUAUGCAAUCUACCUUUUACAGAGGGAUAGCCCAGAGAAAUUUGGAUUAAUACCUCAUAGUAUAGCUCUACCGCAUGGUAGUACUAUUAAAGUCACAACGGUAAAAGAUGAGCAUGCGUCCCAUUAGCUAGUUGGUAAGGUAACGGCUUACCAAGGCAACGAUGGGUAGGGGUCCUGAGAGGGAGAUCCCCCACACUGGUACUGAGACACGGACCAGACUCCUACGGGAGGCAGCAGUGAGGAAUAUUGGACAAUGGGCGCAAGCCUGAUCCAGCCAUGCCGCGUGCAGGAUGACGGUCCUAUGGAUUGUAAACUGCUUUUGUACGAGAAGAAACACUGCUUCGUGAAGCAGCUUGACGGUAUCGUAAGAAUAAGGAUCGGCUAACUCCGUGCCAGCAGCCGCGGUAAUACGGAGGAUCCAAGCGUUAUCCGGAAUCAUUGGGUUUAAAGGGUCCGUAGGCGGUUUAGUAAGUCAGUGGUGAAAGCCCAUCGCUCAACGGUGGAACGGCCAUUGAUACUGCUGAACUUGAAUUAUUAGGAAGUAACUAGAAUAUGUAGUGUAGCGGUGAAAUGCUUAGAGAUUACAUGGGAAUACCAAUUGCGAAAGGCAGGUUACUACUAAUUGAUUGACGCUGAUGG